AUUGAACGCUGGCGGCAGGCCUAACACAUGCAAGUCGAGCGGAUGAAGGGAGCUUGCUCCUGGAUUCAGCGGCGGACGGGUGAGUAAUGCCUAGGAAUCUGCCUGGUAGUGGGGGAUAACGUCCGGAAACGGGCGCUAAUACCGCAUACGUCCUGAGGGAGAAAGUGGGGGAUCUUCGGACCUCACGCUAUCAGAUGAGCCUAGGUCGGAUUAGCUAGUUGGUGGGGUAAAAGCCUACCAAGGCGACGAUCCGUAACUGGUCUGAGAGGAUGAUCAGUCACACUGGAACUAAGACACGGUCCAGACUCCUACGGGAGGCAGCAGGGGGGAAUAUUGGACAAUGGGCGAAAGCCUGAUCCAGCCAGGCCGGGUGUGUGAAGAGGUCUUCGGAUUGUAAAGCGCUUUAAGUUGGGAGGAAGGGCAGUAAGUUAAUACCUUGCUGUUUUGACGUUACCAACAGAAUAAGCACCGGCUAACUUCGUG
rnacentral:rRNA from 1 species